UACGUAGGGUGCGAGCGUUAAUCGGAAUUACUGGGCGUAAAGCGUGCGCAGGCGGUCUGUUAAGACCGAUGUGAAAUCCCCGGGCUUAACCUGGGAACUGCAUUGGUGACUGGCAGGCUUUGAGUGUGGCAGAGGGAGGUAGAAUUCCACGUGUAGCAGUGAAAUGCGUAGAGAUGUGGAGGAAUACCGGUGGCGAAGGCAGCCUCCUGGGCCAACACUGACGCUCAUGCACGAAAGCGUGGGGAGCAAACAGG
rnacentral:rRNA from 1 species